CCUACGGGGGGCAGCAGUGGGGAAUAUUGCACAAUGGGGGAAACCCUGAUGCAGCGACGCCGCGUGAAGGAAGAAGUAUUUCGGUAUGUAAACUUCUAUCAGCAGGGAAGAAGAAAGUGACGGUACCUGACUAAGAAGCCCCGGCUAACUACGUGCCAGCAGCCGCGGUAAUACGUAGGGGGCAAGCGUUAUCCGGAUUUACUGGGUGUAAAGGGAGCGUAGGCGGCUGAGCAAGUCAGAAGUGAAAGCCCGCGGCUUAACUGCGGGACUGCUUUUGAAACUGCCCAGCUUGAUUGCCGGAGAGGUAAGUGGAAUUCCUAGUGUAGCGGUGAAAUGCGUAGAUAUUAGGAGGAACACCAGUGGCGAAGGCGGCUUACUGGACGGCUAAUGACGCUGAGGCUCGAAAGCGUGGGGAGCAAACAGGAUUAGAUACCCCAGUAGUC
rnacentral:rRNA from 1 species